GACGAACGCUGGCGGCGUGCUUAACACGUGCAAGUCGAACGAUGAAGCUAGAGCUUGCUCUGGUGGAUUAGUGGCGAACGGGUGAGUAACACGUGAGUAACCUGCCCCGAACUCUGGGAUAACUGCUGGAAACGGUAGCUAAUACCGGAUAUGACCAAUGAAGGCAUCUUCUGUUGGUGGAAAGAAUUUCGGUUCGGGAUGGACUCGCGGCCUAUCAGCUUGUUGGUGAGGUAACGGCUCACCAAGGGGACGACGGGUAGCCGGCCUGAGAGGGUGAUGGGCCACACUGGGACUGGGACACGGCCCAGACUCGUACGGGAGGCAGCAGUGGGGAAUAUUGCACAAUGGGCGCAAGCCUGAUGCAGCAACGCCGCGUGAGGGACGACGGCCUUCGGGUUGUAAACCUCUUUUAGUAGGGAAGAAGCGAAAGUGACGGUACCUGCAGAAAAAGCACCGGCUAACUACGUGCCAGCCGCCGCGGUAA
rnacentral:rRNA from 1 species